rnacentral:rRNA from 1 species
GAUGAACGCUAGCGGCAGGCUUAAUACAUGCAAGUCGUGGGGCAGCAUGAGUAGCAAUACUUGAUGGCGACCGGCAAACGGGUGCGGAACACGUACACAACCUUCCGAUAAGUGGGGAAUAGCCCAGAGAAAUUUGGAUUAAUACCCCGUAACAUAUAGAGUAGGCAUCUUCUUUAUAUUAUAGCUUCGGCGCUUAUUGAUGGGUGUGCGUCUGAUUAGGUAGUUGGCGGGGUAACGGCCCACCAAGCCUACGAUCAGUAGCUAAUGUGAGAGCAUGAUCAGCCACACGGGCACUGAGACACGGGCCCGACUCCUACGGGAGGCAGCAGUAAGGAAUAUUGGACAAUGGGCGAAAGCCUGAUCCAGCCAUGCCGCGUGAAGGAUUAAGGUCCUCUGGAUUGUAAACUUCUUUUAUUUGGGACGAAAAAAGGGAAUUCUUUCCCACUUGACGGUACCAAGUGAAUAAGCACCGGCUAACUCCGUGCCAGCAGCCGCGGUAA